rnacentral:ncRNA from 1 species
UAUCUUCGGGGCGGGGUGAAAUUCCCCACCGGCGGUAAAGUCCGCAAGCUGAAAAGCAUGACACGGUGAAAUUCCGUGACCGACGGUAUAGUCCGGACGAGAGAAGAUU